rnacentral:rRNA from 1 species
UACGGAAGGCAGCAGUGGGGAAUAUUGCACAAUGGGCGCAAGCCUGAUGCAGCGACGCCGCGUGGGGAUGACGGCCUUCGGGUUGUAAACCUCUUUCAGCACAGACGAAGCGCAAGUGACGGUAUGUGCAGAAGAAGCACCGGCCAACUACGUGCCAGCAGCCGCGGUAAUACGUAGGGUGCGAGCGUUGUCCGGAAUUACUGGGCGUAAAGAGCUUGUAGGUGGUUUUGUCGCGUUGUUCGUGAAAUCUCACGGCUUAACUGUGAGCGUGCGGGCGAUACGGGCAGACUAGAGUACUGCAGGGGAGACUGGAAUUCCUGGUGUAGCGGUGGAAUGCGCAGAUAUCAGGAGGAACACCGGUGGCGAAGGCGGGUCUCUGGGCAGUAACUGACGCUGAGAGCGAAAGCGUGGGGAGCGAACAGGAUUAGGAUACC